rnacentral:rRNA from 1 species
UACGAAGGGGGCUAGCGUUGUUCGGAAUUACUGGGCGUAAAGCGCACGUAGGCGGCUUUGUAAGUUAGAGGUGAAAGCCCGGGGCUCAACUCCGGAAUUGCCUUUAAGACUGCAUCGCUAGAAUUGUGGAGAGGUAAGUGGAAUUCCGAGUGUAGAGGUGAAAUUCGUAGAUAUUCGGACAAAGCAACCACCAUGGUGGGCAGGAAG